ACCACUGUGGCUUAGUGGUUUUGAGUGUUAGACUAUGAUGCUGGACACCUGGGUUUGAAUCCCUGCUCGGGCA